UACGUAGGGGGCAAGCGUUGUCCGGAUUUAUUGGGCGUAAAGAGCGUGUAGGCGGCCACACAGGUCAGCUGUGAAAACUCGAGGCUCAACCUCGAGACGUCGGUUGAAACCGUAUGGCUAGAGUCCGGAAGAGGAGAGUGGAAUUCCCGGUGUAGCGGUGAAAUGCGCAGAUAUCGGGAAGAACACCCGUGGCGAAGGCGGCUCUCUGGGACGGUACUGACGCUGAGGUGCGAAAGCGUGGGGAGCAAACAGG
rnacentral:rRNA from 1 species